GACGAACGCUGGCGGCGUGCCUAACACAUGCAAGUCGAACGGGACUUAGUGGAAAGCGGCUUCGGCCAAUGGAAGUUAAGUUUAGUGGCGAACGGGUGAGUAACGCGUGAGAAACCUGCCUUUCAGUGGGGGACAACAGUUGGAAACGACUGCUAAUACCGCAUAAUGUGCCGGGAGGGCAUCCUCCUGGUACCAAAGCUUUAUGUGCUGAAAGAUGGUCUCGCGUCUGAUUAGCUAGAUGGCGGGGUAACGGCCCACCAUGGCGACGAUCAGUAGCCGGUCUGAGAGGAUGAACGGCCACAUUGGGACUGAGAUACGGCCCAGACUCCUACGGGAGGCAGCAGUGGGGAAUAUUGGGCAAUGGGGGGAAACCCUGACCCAGCAACGCCGCGUGAAGGAAGAAGGCC
rnacentral:rRNA from 1 species